AUGGCGACCGGCGCACAGGUGAGUAACGCGUAUGCAACCUGCCCGAUACCGGGGUAUAGCCCAUGGAAACGUGGAUUAACACCCCAUAGUACUUUUAUCCUGCCUGGGAUGGGAGUUAAAUGUUCAAGGUAUCGGAUGGGCAUGCGUCCUAUUAGUUAGUUGGCGGGGUAACAGCCCACCAAGACGAUGAUAGGUAGGGGUUCUGAGAGGAAGGUCCCCCACAUUGGAACUGAGACACGGUCCAA
rnacentral:rRNA from 1 species